CCCCAAAAGCAAUGAUACUAAAAGCAUUUUAAGAACAGCUCCAUUUUAGACCAGCAGAACUAGGAGACCUCCUUUAAGAGAAGGCAGUCUGAAAUAAAUACAGCCCACUUAAAAGCAUGUAAUGGUGGAGCCAUGUACACCUCAGAGAGUUGCAAGUGAUUUUGAAAUGGGCAUCGCAUUUCUUUUGUACUAUUGUCACUUCUAGUUAAACAGGGCAAGCCACUUUUAAAAACAACACUGAAACCUUUUAACUUAAAGUGAUGGCUGUACAUUCAACACGUCACCCUCAGCAGCAGGGAGCCCUCCUUCAAAGUGCCUUUGACUUGUGUGAAAACACACUUGCCCGCCUGCAAGCUUAACAUGUGCAGGCUUUUAAGCUGAACACGUGCUGUGAUUGCCAGGUAAAACCGGGGUUAGGCAGGUGCCUAGAAAGAGCAUAGAGUUUUCUUAAGUUAUUGAUUUUUCAAAAAACCAAACAUCUCUGAUGUUUGCGCUCUUGCAGUUCCAGAUGUUGGGCUUUGUGUGUUUAAACUCAGUUCCUGCUAUUUGGACUGCAGCAUCAAUAAUAACUGAAGGGGUGGGGUGGGGUGGGGUGCGGGGGCUUUAUUCAGCCCAAGAGGAGACCACAUGCCAGUGAUAGGCAUGGGCAGGUGCAAAAGUGGGUGGAGGAACUGGCAUGAUUCUUACCAGUGGCAGACUUUGCGCUGUAAAAUUCCAGCGGCAUCCUGCAACAAGCCAAAAUUCAGUGCGCCCCCAAUUCUCACCUUUCGCUGUUCCUCAUUGUUGCAGCGCCCUCUUGGCUCAGCGCCCAGUGAGGGUGCACCAAACAUAUUUCUCUAAAUCUGCCUCUGCUCUUACCUUUGCACGGCAAAAACCAGAGGUUUCAACAUGCAGUCCCAGGCAUCUGUCUAUCCUCCAUUCAGGCAAAGGAGAGGCAUGAGGAGGAGAGUACGGAUCAGGCCUGGCCCCUGGGCAGAGUCUUGAGGCUCAGAAACAGAGGCUUGAGGGCCGUAUUUUGCCCUUAGGCCUGACGCUCCCCGCCCCAGAUGAUUUAAGUUAUUACUGGUUUUGUUGUAGGUACUGUAUUACCUUCCCUGUUUCGUUAUAAUAUAUUCUGAGACCUUCAGCUACCGGGCGGGCCGUAAACGCUUGAAAUAAUAAUAAAACACAGAAUAAAAGUUCAGUCCUUGGGGACCGAGGCCGAGGCCCCGGGCGGUUUCUUACGGACGUCUUCCCGUGGGGCUUCAAGGAUCCUGUCAGCGCCAGAGCCGCCAUGGAAGCGGCGGAGUUCCCGGGGGAGGUUUCUCGGGGGGCUUUGCUCGUGUUCGUGCUUAUUGUAGACAAAUGUUCUCCCCGCCGGGGCUUCCCCGGCUCUCUCGUGCUGACGGCUGGCUGCACAUUGCUCAGGAGGUGCUCGGAGCUCCCGGGCGUCUUGCCGCCGCUUUGCUUUGGGAAGCGCAGUUGCCUUUUUCUCUCUCCCGCCGCACCCCUCAGCUCCCCUUGGCGAAGCCGGGCCCGCUUUCACCUCAGCCGCCCGCCCGCCCGCCUGGCUGUAUGGCUGGCUGGUUCAACUGCAGAAGGGCUCGCUCGGCCGCUAAUUACUCCAUCUGUUUCCUAUGCGAAUUCACCUGCCUCCGGUUUUAUCGAGUGCUUUCCUUAUUGCAAACAUUUCUCGGGCUCAUCUGGCACUCAGUUUCCUGGAAAGAGAGAUGGGGGCCCAAUGCCCGCUCCCCCCAGCCUAGUAGCGGGGUAGGAUUUGCCAAUGAAGCGAAAUAGGCGGCUGAGGAAGGCCCGAGGCAAACGUGGGGUGGGGGUGGGCCCAGGGCAACGAUGUGCCCGUGACGUGAACGAAGGAGCCUGCUAAAACGCUGGUGGGAGAGCGAACCGGAUGAAUUCUUCAACCCGAAACAAGCAGGACAAUUGCAAGACAAAAGCCAGCGCCACGCAUUUCAUAGUCCUGCAUCACCCCCUUUCCCUCACAGUUCUGAAACUCCUGCCCUGUAUUCGAUUUCUUCCUCCCUUCGUCCCAGGCUUAUUGCUCCUUUUCCCAUUCUCACCGUUUAAAGUACCUCGCAGUACAUACAGUUGCAACUGUCCGGGCUCCUCCUCCUGCUCUCUUUUCCCCUGUUGCUUUUCCUUUGAAAGAGACGCGGCUUUCCCACUCCCCCUUUUUCUGUCUAUGCCGCUCUGUAAGCACCGUGUUCACCAAGAGUCCGUGUGCGUGUAUAACAGCAAUCCAUCUCCAUCCUUUCCCUGCCUUGUUUCUUAAGUUGGAACUUAAAUUGUCAGAUGGUUUCAGUCUGUAUUGUUUAGACAGAUAGAGAUGAAUAUAUAAAAUUGUGUAGGGUUUGCAUUGUAUAAAAUAAAUAGAACUCCCUGCCUAUUGACAUCAGGUGGGCGGCUUCACUAUACUCUUUUCAGCACCUGCUAUAAAAACAAGCUCGUUUAGACAAGCUUACCCAGAUAAGUAGAAUGAUUACAUGUGUCUUAAUCUUUUUCUUAGCUUAUUGCUGAUUUCAUUAUUUGAAUGUUUUAAAUAGCCGCAUUUAUCAUUUUUAUUUUAUUUUUAUAAGCCCCUUGAGGUGGGGUUUUUUUGCUAUAUAAAUUGUACGAAAUAAAAUAUAUAAAACAUUAAACCAGUCACUCAGAAGGCAAUGCAGCGCAAACCGCCACCUUCUUUAGUGCUUCGAUUGUCCACCUCUGUCCCUUAUACUCAUUUCCUUACAUUUCUCCCAGUUGCAGACAUAACUGGUGUUCUAGCUGAAGUGGUGGAACAGGAUGGCAGGCAAAUGGAACAUUUUAGCACUAGGACCCUAUGCCGCCCUAAGAGAUUGCCCUUGAUAUCUUUUUUUUUUUUUAAAGAUUUUUAUUGGUUUUCAAAAAUAUAAGCAUUAGGUUUCCCCCAUUCCCAUCCCUCUGCCUGCCCUUGAUAUCUUAAAAGCUCAGGUGAGCUGGCAGCCUGGCACACCUCACUUUUAAAAUUCUUUGCACCCCAGAAAAUGGUUCCCAUAAAAACAUCACCAUAUCCCAGCCUAUACCAACCUAGUGCCCUCCUGAUGUUCUGGACUACAACUCCCAUCAGCCUCAGCCAGCACAGGUUGCCCAAGACUGCCAUGUUAUCAGCUUUGCUAUUCUAACCUAGCAUAAAGAUCUGAGUAUUCGUUCUUCAAAGCUGCACCCCCCUCUAGUCCCUAUACGCCGUGAUGAUGUGUGCUACUGCAGCAUACAGAGUGAGAAGGAAAGAAAGGGUAGCAAACCCAGUCCCUCCUCACCUUACAGCCAUCACCAGGCAGUGCUUUAACCUCUGCAACUUCUAAACUGGCCCACCCAAUCAUCCAUAUACCAGGAAGCAUGGUAAGGCAAUUAGAGAUUAACUUUUACUGAAGGUUUUUGCAGGGUAACAAUAAGAUAAGAAAUGUUUGUGAAAAUCAGUUUUUUUGUCUUUUAAAAAAGCACAAUCCUUAUUUUAAAAGCAUUUGGAGAGCACAGACGGAGCCCCUGUAGAAAAAGAAGAGAAGGGUGCAAAUGGAAUCAGAAGAACUCUUGAGAUGGCUGGAAACUGUUAAGUGUUGACAGGAAACAGGGAAAGAG
rnacentral:lncRNA from 1 species